UACGUAGGGUCCGAGCGUUGUCCGGAAUUACUGGGCGUAAAGAGCUCGUAGGUGGUUUGUCGCGUUGUUCGUGAAAACUCACAGCUCAACUGUGGGCGGGCAGCUGAUACGGGCAGGCUGGAGUUCGGUAGGGGAGACUGGAAUUCCUGGUGUAGCGGUGAAAUGCGCAGAUAUCAGGAGGAACACCGGUGGCGAAGGCGGGUCUCUGGGCCGAUACUGACGCUGAGGAGCGAAAGCGUGGGGAGCGAACAGG
rnacentral:rRNA from 1 species